AAUGGGGAUGGACAAAUUAAUUAAUUCAUCUAACAUUUUUGUUUCGUCACGACAGGCCAAUUUCUGCAACAGGCCUAUUUCCUUGUCUAAGAGCCCAUCAUUUCUUGGAUGCCUCCUCAUCACUGAGACUAAAGGAGAAAGUCUGCUUAAAGAGAUCCAAAAACUCAUCACAAGAAAAGGAGGAGGAACAUGAUGGAGCGAUCGACAUUGAAGGGUGAACAGGCAGGUGGGCUGAAGGACCGUACAUCAUAGAAGGAUGCGAUGGUGCCUUGCUUCCUGGGAUGUCCUCCACAGGCUUCAACCACAUUGCUGACACCAACACAUUGCAAAGUUCUGAAGACUGGGAUUGACUGGAACGGGCCUCACACUCAUCAUGAGUCAACAGUGUCAGUCCCAGAUACUCUGCUGCCCUGUCAUCUAUCAGAUGAAGAAGUUGCCAUUUUGCCUGUUCCAGGAACUUCUUGAGCUGCAGCAAUCAACUCAUACUUGGAAAUGAUGCAAGUUUGGUCAAGAAUCAUAAGGGAUUAAUAUCCAAACUACAGUUUUUAUUUAGAAUGUUGAGGGGAAAAAGAUACACCUGAAAAUACACUUGUUUUUUUUUUUAUUGAAAAUAAGAGAAUGUGUUUUAACUCUGUUAAAACUGUCAUUAAAUGACACCUCAAGAACAACUAAGCUGUUUUGUUAAGUAGAGUUUUUUAAUAAGCAAC